UACGUAGGGUGCGAGCGUUAAUCGGAAUUACUGGGCGUAAAGCGUGCGCAGGCGGUUGGGCAAGACAGAUGUGAAAUCCCCGGGCUUAACCUGGGAAUUGCAUUUGUGACUGCACGGCUAGAGUGUGUCAGAGGGGGGUAGAAUUCCACGUGUAGCAGUGAAAUGCGUAGAGAUGUGGAGGAAUACCGAUGGCGAAGGCAGCCCCCUGGGAUAACACUGACGCUCAUGCACGAAAGCGUGGGGAGCAAACAGG
rnacentral:rRNA from 1 species